CCCCGCCCUGGCCGCGGGAUUAGUGGUUUGAUUAUGGCUCAGAAUGAACGUUGGCGGCGUGGAUUAGGCAUGCAAGUCGAGCGAGAAAUUUACUUCGGUAAAUGGACAGCGGCGAAAGGGACAGUAAUGUGUAGGUACCUACCCUCUGAUCUGGGAUAGCUGCGGGAAACUGCAGGUAAUACCGGAUAAUGUCUUCGGACCAAAGGUGUGAUUCCGUCUGAGGAGGGGCCUGCAUCCUAUUAGCUUGUUGGUGAGGUAAUGGCUCACCAAGGCAACGAUGGGUAGCGGGUGUGAGAGCAUGACCCGCGUCAUUGGGACUGAGACACUGCCCAGACAUCUACGGAUGGCUGCAGUCGAGAAUCUUCGGCAAUGGGCGAAAGCCUGACCGAGCGACGCCGCGUGCGGGAUGAAGGCCCUCGGGUUGUAAACCGCUGUCGUUGGGGAGGAAAUGCAAGAGGGCUAUCCCUUUUGUUUGACCGAUCCAAGGAGGAAGUACGGGCUAAGUUCGUGC
rnacentral:rRNA from 1 species